AACGAACGCUGGCGGCAUGCCUAACACAUGCAAGUCGAACGAGAUCUUCGGGUCUAGUGGCGCACGGGUGCGUAACGCGUGGGAAUCUGCCCUUUGGUUCGGAAUAACAGUUGGAAACGACUGCUAAUACCGGAUGAUGACGAAAGUCCAGAGAUUUAUCGCCAGAGGAUGAGCCCGCGUAGGAUUAGCUAGUUGGUGUGGUAAAGGCGCACCAAGGCGACGAUCCUUAGCUGGUCUGAGAGGAUGAUCAGCCACACUGGGACUGAGACACGGCCCAGACUCCUACGGGAGGCAGCAGUGGGGAAUAUUGGACAAUGGGCGAAAGCCUGAUCCAGCAAUGCCGCGUGAGUGAUGAAGGCCUUAGGGUUGUAAAGCUCUUUUACCCGGGAUGAUAAUGACAGUACCGUAAGAAUAAGCACCGGCUAACUACGUGCCAGCAGCCGCAGUAA
rnacentral:rRNA from 1 species